AGCCUUGUAGUGUAGUUUCAUGCAGGAUUGCAAACCCUGAGACGUAGGUUAACGCCUGCCGGGGCUUCC
rnacentral:tRNA from 1 species